AAACCAGCACCUCAAGUGGUCAGGAGGAUUAUUGGGCCUAAAGCAUCCGUAGCCUGCUGCAUAAGUUUUCGGUUAAAUCCAUACGCUCAACGUAUGGGCUGCCGGGAAUACUGUGCAGCUAGGGAGUGGGAGAGGUAGACGAUACUCGGUAGGAAGGGGUAAAAUCCUUUGAUCUAUUGAUGACCACCUGUGGCGAAGGCGGUCUACCAGAACACGUUCGACGGUGAGGGAUGAAAGCUGGGGGAGCAAACCGGAUUAGAAACCCGAGUAGUCC
rnacentral:rRNA from 1 species